AUUGAACGCUGGCGGCAGGCUUAACACAUGCAAGUCGAGCGGAGCGGCGGAAGGGUGAGUAAUGCUUAGGAAGCUGCCUAUUAGUGGGGGACAAAAUCGCGAAAGGGAUGCUAAUACCGCAUAAUAAUAGAUGAGCCUAAGUCGGAUGAGCUAGUUGGUGGGGUAAAGGCCUACCAAGGCGACGAUCUGUAGCGGGUCUGAGAGGCUGAUCCGCCACACUGGUGCUGAGACACGGCCCAGACUCCUACGGUAGGCAGCAGUGGGGAAUAUUGGACAAUGGGAGGAACCCUGAACCAGCCAUGCCGCGUGUGUGAAGAAGGCCUUAUGGUUGUAAAGCACUUUAUGCGAGGAGGCGUUACUCGCAGAAUAAGCACCGUCUAACUCUGUGCCAGCCGCCGCGGUAAUUC
rnacentral:rRNA from 1 species